GUCUCUCACAUCUCGUGUAGUAGCCUGAGCCUCCUCUCUCUCUCGGUCUUCAAUCACUCUCUCUAACUCUCUGUCUCUCAUUCCCAACACCAUCUCUCGAUUUCUCUCUAUUUCUGCCUUCAUCCAAAAAAAUUUCACACACCUCCAUCUUAGCCAAGCUCUCGCCGCCGUCAAUUUCGAUGUCCUCUUCAGGUUCGCACAUUCAAUCUCAUUAUUUGUAUAUUUAAUUUAAUGAUUGUGUAAUUAAUUGUGUUGUAGAGAGAAGAAAUCAGAUCCAUGGUUGAAAAGGAUGGAUCUGCAAAGGGAAUUGUUUUCAGCCAGUUCACAUCGUUCUUGCAUAUUUCAAGGUCCGACCCGAACCCCAAAUUCUGUUUCUGCAUGUUUUUAGAUUUCUAGGGUUUUAUAUUUGUGUAUGCGAAAUGGGAUUUUAUUUUUUCUGGAGGCAUAUUUGCGUCGUUAGCGGCGCUGAUGUUCAAUUGCAUAAAAAACGUGGACAAGAAUGCGAGUGGAGGUGAGCAAUUGAAUGCACAACUCAGAUAUUGAUUACUCAUAUAACUGCAUAAGAAAUUAAAAACCUACCCAGUUGAUGGGUUUCUCGAUUUAAUUCUCCACCCAAGACAGAGAGUCCGUGUGUAAAGAGAGAAGGCAAAGAGGGUCUGGCAUUUGGGCGGCGACGAUUGAGUUGCUGCUGCUACUGCUACUGCUACUGCUGCUGCUCAAAAAAUGGAUUGCAACAACGACAAUUGAGUUGCUGCUUGAGUAUCAUUAAAGUAAGAAAAUAGCGGUGCUAUAACGGAAGAAGAGGGAAGAGAAACAGUUGAGUCAUCCUCUUUCUGUUUUAGGGACUGGGAGAAACUUUUGGGAGAGUGACAAUUGAAGCCAUGGCAUUCGGUCUUCCGGUGCUUGGAACUGAAGCCGGAGGCACAAAAGAGAUUGUUGAACACAAUGUAACAGGUCUGCUUCAUCCUGUGGGGCAUGACGGAACUCGUGGCCUCGCCGAGAAUCUCCGGUUUUUGCUUAAAAUCAGAGGUUGAUGCAUUGAAGAACCAUAGAUGUUGAAGAACCAUAGAUGUCGAACACAGCAGAGGUCGAUGCAUUGAAGGCGGAAGUGACGCACCUGAGGGUCGAAGGCGAGCAGAUGAAGGCGCAGCUGAGGGCCCAGGAAGAGGAGAUGAAGAUAUGUGUCGGGAGGGUGCAAGAACUUGUACAAGCUAUACAGAUGUCCGGCCUCCAAAUCUCGCUACCAGCAUCUCAUCUUGCUUCACCUUCGACCUCAGAGCCAUCUCGCCCUGCCAAUACCCAAUAGCCUGAUGUAUUAAACCUAGUUCACUUGUAGUUUUUUCUUUUUUGUUUGGACAUCUUGUAUGUACAUUUUCAUAUAUUUUAUAAUUAAAUACUUUUGCUUGGUUAA